UACGUAGGGACCGAGCGUUGUCCGGAAUCAUUGGGCGUAAAGAGCUCGUAGGCGGUUUGUCGCGUCUGCUGUGAAAACUGGAGGCUCAACCUCCAGCCUGCAGUGGGUACGGGCAGACUAGAGUGCGGUAGGGGAGAUUGGAAUUCCUGGGUGUAAGCGGUGGAAUGCGCAGAUAUCAGGAGGAACACCGAUGGCGAAGGCAGAUCUCUGGGCCGUAACUGACGCUGAGGAGCGAAAGCAUGGGGAGCGAACAGG
rnacentral:rRNA from 1 species